GACGAACGCUGGCGGCGUGCUUAACACAUGCAAGUCGAACGGAAAGGCCCUGCUUUUGUGGGGUGCUCGAGUGGCGAACGGGUGAGUAACACGUGAGUAACCUGCCCUUGACUUUGGGAUAACUUCAGGAAACUGGGGCUAAUACCGGAUAGGAGCUCCUGCUGCAUGGUGGGGGUUGGAAAGUUUCGGCGGUUGGGGAUGGACUCGCGGCUUAUCAGCUUGUUGGUGGGGUAGUGGCUUACCAAGGCUUUGACGGGUAGCCGGCCUGAGAGGGUGACCGGCCACAUUGGGACUGAGAUACGGCCCAGACUCCUACGGGAGGCAGCAGUGGGGAAUAUUGCACAAUGGGCGGAAGCCUGAUGCAGCAACGCUGCGUGCGGGAUGACGGCCUUCGGGUUGUAAACCGCUGUCGCCUGUGACGAAGCGUGAGUGACGGUAAUGGGUAAAGAAGCACCGGCUAACUACGUG
rnacentral:rRNA from 1 species